CUUUAAAUUCUCACAAUGCUUCCUCAUCACCAUCUCUCCGGUGCCGGAGCCUCGCCGCGGUGUCGAGUCCUCUCUAGCCGAGGCUGCCACUGCUCCGACUUCGCCCUCACCGUUCUCCGGAUGGUCACCGAGUCCUCCAUUGACGGGCGGAUCCGACAAGCCGCCGUCAUCAGCUUCAUGAACCACCAGUGGUCCUCCGAUGACGCCACUAGGAAGGAGCAAAUCAAAACCCUAAUCGUUUCCUUCACGCUCUCCACCACUCCUAAGUGCUUUCGCUCCUCUUCAGGAGAGAGUUUGAAGGUAGGUUAUAAUAUACUGCAUCAUGUUCAAUGCCACUAAAGGAGUGUUUACUUCCCGCUUUCAAGCAUCUACUAGCAAGUUCGUUUGCUGUCUUUGGAACUUUUACGGUAAUUUGACAUACCUAUGGCCCAGUAUAUCAUCAACAUGAAUGCUUCACUGCCUUUGUCUUACAAGGUACUUCGUUUUGAUGCUGUGUAGAUCCAGGUACUCCGUUUGGAUGUGCAGACAUAUUUAUCUUGUUAUUUUUCUAUACCUUGAUAUUUUAUCAUAACUUGUUCAAUCGUUUUCGGUUAAAUGAAUAGUGUGAUGCUUUCACUUUGGUAGAGCCACUCUCUGGUUUCAUUUUCUAUUAUUUUAUUCUGGUUCAUGAAUCUUAUAAAGACUCACACAGUGAGUGGAACUCUGCUAUCCAUACUGAUUUCUCUGCAUAAAAAUGGGUUUAAAUUUUUCAUAAAUUAUGGAAGUACUAGCUAGAAGUUCUCUUUAAUUGGGGUUCUGAAAUUUCUUUAAUUUCUAUUUUGUUAUCAAUUUUCUCAAUAUUGAAGCUGGAUAUAUUCAGGUUGAUAUUAGUUCUGACAAUUUUGUAGGGUAAAUGUGCAAUCCCAUUUUACAGCACUUUCUAUUAAAGCACCUUCCUUACUAAAACGCUUUAAAGGUGUAGUUUUAAUGACUAUUAAUGUUUUUGAUAAUGAUCAUGUUAAAGCGCUUUUUAUAAGACCGAAAAGCAGGCAUCUCACACCUCGAUUCGACUCUUCUUCUUCAUCUGGUUCUUAUUUUCUAGGUACAGAUCUUCCCCUUUUCUCUAGAUCUGCCUUUUUCACCUCUUAAUUUCACACCUUUAAAAUGUAGCAUCUAUGAGAAGUUAUGUGUGCUUAAGGAGAAUUCAAGGAAUUCGUGUCAUUCCUUUAGGAGAAUGAUGUGGGUCUUACAAAUGUGAAGGUAAAGAUGGCUUUGCUUCAAAUACAAUAACAUCUGUUAAUCUAAUGCAGACUUUUAUUCACUUCUGCAGGUUUGUCUUUUGGUUUGACUUCAAGUGACCAGGAUUCAGCUGCUGCUGAUUCUAAUGCAAAUCUGGAGUUCAUGGACAAGGCUUUUUGAACUUAUCUUGACCCAGGAAUUUGAUUGAAGCACAACAUCCGGUCUUAUCAUUGUGUUUUUGUAUCAAAGAUCAGUCCUUUCUCCCUUGCUAUCCAGCUCGACCGAAUGAAACAAUUUGCAACUAAAGUUAUUGCAGCACGGAGGCCAUUGAUCAAGCUAAAGAGACCCUUUGUGAUCUCAAGAAGUUAAAGCUGAGAAAGAAAACUUCACUAUCUUUUUUAAGCUUCAAAAGAAUGUUCUCUGCCUAGAUGAAUUCAAGUGUCCACUUUCCAAAGAAUGGAUGAGAUAUCCAGUCAUUGUGGCUUCUGGUCAGGUUAGUGUCAGAAUUUGGAGUCUAUUGUUAAUUUGCUUUGUUUGGUAUCUGGGAAAAUGCUAGAAACAGAACAGAAGAAAAAAAAAUCCUGCUACUUGUUUGAUUUUUUUAUCUUUUAAAAAUAUCUGAGGGGAAAAAAGAGUUAGCAACUAUCCAACUGUGGCCAAAAGGGAUAAAAUGUUCUUGAAAAAAUUGGGUUUCUCUUUCCCUGUUUUUUUGGAAUUAAAUUUAACUACAGUGAAGAAUGUUUAUA